rnacentral:rRNA from 1 species
GACGAACGCUGGCGGCGUGCUUAACACAUGCAAGUCGAACGGAAAGGCCCUGCUUUUGUGGGGUGCUCGAGUGGAGAACGGGUGAGUAACCCGUGAGUCACCUGCCCUUGACUUUGGGAUAACUUCAGGAAAAUGGGGCUAAUACCGGAUAUGAGCUCCUGCUGCAUGGUGGGGGUUGGAAAGUUUCGGCGGUUGGGGAUGGACUCGCGGCUUAUCAGCUUGGUGGUGGGGUAGUGGCAUACCAAGGCAUUGACGGGUAGCCGGCCUGAGAGGGUGACCGGCCACAUGGGGAAUGAAGUAGGGCCCAGGCUCCUACGGGAGGCAGCAGUGGGGAAUAUGUCACACUGGGCGGAAGCCUGACGCAGCCACGCCGCGUGCGGGAUGACGGCCUUCGUGUUGUAAACCGCUUUCGCCUGUGACGAAGCGUGAGUGACGGUAAUGGAUAAAGAAGCACCGGCUAACUACGUG